GAUGAACGCUGGCGGCGUGCUUAACACAUGCAAGUCGAACGAAGAAGGUUGGAAUGAGAGCUUCGGCAGGAUUUCUUUCCAUCUUAGUGGCGGACGGGUGAGUAACGUGUGGGCAACCUGCCCUGUACUGGGGAAUAAUCAUUGGAAACGAUGACUAAUACCGCAUGUGGUCCUUGGAAGGCAUCUUCUGAGGAAGAAAGGAUUUAUUCGGUACAGGAUGGGCUCGCGUCCGAUUAGGUAGAUGGUGAGGCAACGGCUCACCAUGCCGACGAUCGGUAGCCGGACUGAGAGGUCGAUCGGCCACAUUGGGACUGAGACACGGCCCAG
rnacentral:rRNA from 1 species